CAACCCUCGGUCCACACCGGUUUUGAGCGAGCGCCUGGGUCUCACCACCCGAGCUGGCUUUAAAGUUGUAAGCUCUGCUGGCUGCCCUGCCCGACUUGAACAUAGUAAACUUUGCUUGUUCGCGGUUGAGGUGGAAGCGGUACGGCCUGAACAAAACCUACCAUACUUUUAAG
rnacentral:misc_RNA from 1 species